UGUGUGAUGGCGGCGGCUCCAUUCCUGAGCCGUCGCCAUCAGCAGAGAGUGUCAGCUCUAUGCUGACACUCUGCUGUAACCCCACA